GAGCCACCAGAAGAUGGGCGUCGACCAGGCCGCCGUCGCCGCGGAAACGGAGAGCAGGAACCUUCCGGAAAGCGAAUACAUCACCGUCAACCCGGCGCCGGGUUUUUCCAGCCCCGUUCCGCCCAAGACGUAUUCCGGCGCCGGCGGAAUUCCCAG